CACAACUUUAACUUAUCCCAAAUAAAACCAAAUAGCACAACAUAAGGAUAUACCACCCCCAACUCCAUCUAACCCAACGCUUAACCCAUACGUACAGCCAAACCGACCGGACCCGACCCCAUCACUCUUCUUCUUCACACGCGAUCCGACCUAGAAACGCGUGAACGCUAGUGAAACCCAGAAAUUGCGGAAAUUUACAGCAUACAACAGCCAUACUCGACAAGCCUUGUCAUGUCUUCUUCGCUCCAAAACACAAGGAUAAGUCACGUCCAACAGUACUCAUGUAUGCCCUCUUCUUCUUUUCCUUAAACUCAGCCGACUCCAGCUCCAGAUGGCACGCCUGCUAUUCAACAGCCGCGUCUCGCCCUCUUUUCCCUUUUCUGUCUCUGAGUUUCAGAGCAAAAAUACAACUCUCUAUUAAUUUUUUUUACUGUUUUCUCGAAAAGGAACUAGUUGAUUCAAAAUCCAACGGAUUUUGCCCCCUAGUCGCCCAAGAUUUUUUUGUUUAAAUAGCCCUUUGCACUCAAGUGAUGAGGGAAGGUUUUUGAAUUUGGAUUCUUAGAAGAAAAUUUGAGCUUGGUUUUAAAGCAAUUGUCACUUCUACACUUCAAAUUUUUAUAUCUAACUUCUUAAUUCUAAGUUCCGACAAGAUCGACGCUCGAAUUUUCUUGGCUUACGGUCCGUAUUCGAAAAUCAUGGUAAAAUAAUCACCCCUCUCAAACUCGUUCGUCCCAGUCGCUGCUCAUAGAAAGUUCUAUUACAUGUGAUACCAAUCUGAGUUCAUUUUGGACUCAUUUCCUUCAUUUAUUUGAUUCAAAAAAUUUCGACUCAGCCCCAUCAAUGUCCGACGAUGAUGGAACCUGAAACAGGCUCCGGACAGUUCGAAACUAGCUGCAUGCUUUCUGUAUACACUAGUAUACACUAUUAAUAUAUUGAUAAACAGGUCAAAAUGCAACAAAUACUAGUAAAAAAAGAAUAUACAGGUUGGAGGCGUCAAGUUGUACUGUAUAUAGUUGAUAUAUGAGCUGAUAUGGAGGAAGUGGUGCUGAUAUGCGAUCUGUAUACACUGAUAUACGGAUUGUGUAUACAAACUGGGAUUAGGUUAAAACCCAAAAAUCUGCAGCGAAAUUGGUCCAAGAAGGGCCCAAUUUCAUUAUCUCUUUCACUCUCCUAAUUGUUUUGAUUAUAUUGACUAAUUUCAUUUAACUCUAACUUUAGAAUUGGUAAUUAACUUACUUCAAUCCUAAAAGAUGAAUUAUUUUCUUUAUGUUGGUUUACUAUUUAAACAUCUUUUGCAAUCA